GUGCUCGCUUCAGCAGCACAUAUAUUAAAACUGGAACAAUGCAGAGGAGAUUAGCAUGGCCCCUGAGCAAGGAUUGACACACAAAUUCAUGAAGCAUUCCAUAUUUAA